GCAGGCGCGAAAACUUUGCAAUAAGCGAAAGCUUGACAGGGCUAUCCCGAGUGCCAUCCGCUGAGGAAGGCUUUUACCCAGUCUAGAACGCUGGGGGAAUAAGGAGAGGGCAAGUCUGGUGUCAGCCGCCGCGGUAAUACCAGCUCUCCGAGUGGUGUGGAUGUUUAUUGGGCCUAAAGCAUCCGUAGCUGGCUAAGUUAGUCCCUUGUUAAAUCCACCGAAUUAAUCGUUGGAUUGCGGGGGAUACUGCUUGGCUAGGGGACGAGAGAGGCAGACGGUAUUUUCGGGGUAGGGGUGAAAUCCUAUAAUCCCGGGAAGACCACCAGUGGCGAAGGCUGUCUGCUAGAACGCGCCCGACGGUGAGGGAUGAAAGCUGGGGGAGCGAACCGGAUUAGAUACCCGGGUAGUCCCAGCUGUAAACGAUGCAGGCUAGGUGUUUGGACGGCCACGUGCCGUUCUAGUGCCGCAGGGAAGCUGUUAAGCCUGCCGCCUGGGGAGUACGAUCGCAAGAUUGAAACUUAAAGGAAUUGGCGGGGGAGCAC
rnacentral:rRNA from 1 species